rnacentral:rRNA from 1 species
GUAACAAGGUUUCCGUAGGUGAACUUGCGGAAGGAUCAUUACCGAGUGCGGGCCCUCGUGGCCCAACCUCCCCCCCCUUGUCUCUAUACACCUGUUGCUUUGGCGGGCCCACCGGGGUCACCUGGUCGCCGGGGGACAAUCUGUCCCCGGGCCCGCGCCCGCCGAAGCGCUCUGUGAACCCUGAUGAAGAUGGGCUGUCUGAGUACUAUGAAAAUUGUCAAAACUUUCAACAAUGGAUCUCUUGGUUCCGGCAUCGAUGAAGAACGCAGCGAAAUGCGAUAAGUAAUGUGAAUUGCAGAAUUCCGUGAAUCAUCGAAUCUUUGAACGCACAUUGCGCCCCCUGGCAUUCCGGGGGGCAUGCCUGUCCGAGCGUCAUUUCUGCCCUCAAGCACGGCUUGUGUGUUGGGUGCGGUCCCCCCGGGGACCUGCCCGAAAGGCAGCGGCGACGUCCGUCUGGUCCUCGAGCGUAUGGGGCUUUGUCACUCGCUCGGGAAGGGCUGGCGGGGGUUGGUCACCACCAAAAUUUUACCACGGUUGACCUCGGAUCA